rnacentral:rRNA from 1 species
GCGUAUGGUGGAUGCCUUGGCAGACAGGACCGAUGAAGGACGUUUGAGGCUGCGAUAUGCCUCGGGGAGCCGCCAACAGGGCUUUGAUCCGAGGAUUUCCGAAUGGGGGAACCCACCGACCGUCAUGGGUCGGUACCGGCUUCGGCCGGGGGGUACGCAGGGAAGUGAAACAUCUCAGUACCUGCAGGAAAGGAUAUUCCGUGAGUAGUGGCGAGCGAAAGCGGAUGAUGGCCAAACCUUGCGCGUGUGAUACCCGUCGGGGGUUGCGCGCGGGGUGUUGCGGGAUCGCGUGCGCCGGCUCCGACGGGCCGGCCGGCAGUUGCAGAAAACCAUGUGUCAGGGGAACCGGGUUGAAUACCGGGCCGCAGAGGGUGAGGGCCCCGUACCUGAACGCGCAUGGUCUGCCGAUCGCGUCUCCCAAGUAGCACGGGUCCCGUGGAACCCCGUGCGAAUCCGCCCAGACCGUUGGGUAAGCCUGAAUAUUCCUGUCUGACCGAUAGCGAACGAGUACCGUGAGGGAAAGGUGAAAAGUACCCCGGGAGGGGAGUGAAACAGUCUCUGAAACCGUGCGCCUACAAUCCGUCGGAGCCCUUUUGUGGGGUGACGGCGUGCCUAUCGAAAAAUGAGUCUGCGAGUCAGUGGCAUGUGGCGAGCAUAACCCGUGUGGGGUAUGCGUAGCGAAGGCGAGUCUUAAAAGGCGUUUGAGUCGCGUGUCCUGGACCCGAAGCGGGAUGAUCUAGCCCUGAGCAGGUUGAAGCGCGGGUAAGACCGCGUGGAGGACCGAACCCACCUGGGUUGAAAACCGGGGGGAUGACCUGGGGCUAGGGGUGAAAGGCCAAUCAAAUUCCGUGAUAGCUGGUUCUCUCCGAAAUGCAUUUAGGUGCAGCGUCGGUUGAUUGCGUCGCGGGGGUAGAGCUACCGGAUGCUUGCGGGCCCUUGUUGGGUACCAACAGCAGCCGAACUCCGAAUACCGUUGACGUGUAUUCCGGCAGUGAGUCGGCGGGGGAUAAGCUCCGUCGUCGAGAGGGAGACAGCCCAGACCGUCGUCUAAGGUCCCGAAGCGUGUGCUAAGUGGGAAAGGAUGUGGAGUCGCAUAGACAGCCAGGAGGUUGGCUCAGAAGCAGCCAUCCUUGAAAGAGUGCGUAACAGCUCACUGGUCUAGUGGUUCCGCGCCGACAAUGUAGCGGGGCUCAAGCACACCACCGAAGACGCGGCAGCGGCCUUUGUGGCCGCUGGGUAGGAGAGCGUCCCCCGAGGGGCGAAGCGGCGGCGGAAGCCGGCCGUGGACUUCGGGGGAGUGAGAAUGCAGACAUGAGUAGCGAGAGACGGGUGAGGAUCCCGUCCGCUGGAUGACCAAGGGUUCCGGGGCCACGUUCGUCGUCCCCGGGUGAGUCGGGUCCUAAGGCGAGGCCGACAGGCGUAGUCGAAUGGAUGAACGGGUCGAUAUUCCCGUACCGGCUUUCAGCCGCCAAAACCGAGGCUUGGAGUACUAACCUCCGGGUCCGGGCUUACUGCUCCUUCGGGGGCGGGAUGCCCUGGCCUGUUGGGACCGAUCCUUGUAGUAGGUCAGCGCAGGAGUGACGCAGAAGGGUAGCCGGCCGCGGAGGUGGUCUUCCGUGGUCAAGCACGCAGGGCGUGGGACAGGCAAAUCCGUCCCGCAUGGGUCCGAGGUGCGAUGAUGGGGGCCUUAUGGCCCGAUAUCCGGUGAUCCCGGCUGCCGAGAAAAGCUUCGGCGUCAGGCUCGAAGCCGCCCGUACCCCAAACCGACACUGGUGGUCAGGUAGAGAAUACCAAAGCGAUCGAGCGAAUCCUGGUCAAGGAACUCGGCAAAUCACUCCCGUUCCUUCGGUUUAAGGGAGACCCCCGAUGGUGAACACACUUGCUGUGGGAGCUUUUGGGGGUGGCACAGACCAGGGGGUAGCGACUGUUUACCAAAAACACAGGUGCAUGCGAAGGCGCAAGCCGCUGUAUAUGCACUGACGCCUGCCCGGUGCCGGAAGGUUAAGAGGAUCCGUCAGCCCUCGGGUGAAGCGGUGAAUUCAAGCCCCGGUAAACGGCGGUGGUAACAAUAACCAUCCUAAGGUAGCGAAAUUCCUUGUCGGGUAAGUUCCGACCUGCACGAAUGGCGUAACGACUUCCCCACUGUCUCGACCAGGAGCUCGGCGAAAUUGCAGU